GAGGAAUAUUGGUCAAUGGACGAAAGUCUGAACCAGCCAAGUAGCGUGCAGGAUGACGGCCCUCUGGGUUGUAAACUGCUUUUAGUUGGGAAUAAAAAAGAGGACGUGUCCUCUAUUGUAUGUACCUUCAGAAAAAGGACCGGCUAAUUCCGUGCCAGCAGCCGCGGUAAUACGGAAGGUCCAGGCGUUAUCCGGAUUUAUUGGGUUUAAAGGGAGCGUAGGCGGAUUAUUAAGUCAGUGGUGAAAGACGGUGGCUCAACCAUCGUUAGCCAUUGAAACUGGUAGUCUUGAGUGCAGACAGGGAUGCUGGAACUCGUGGUGUAGCGGUGAAAUGCUUAGAUAUCACGAUGAACUCCGAUCGCGAAGGCAGGUGUCCGGGCUGCAACUGACGCUGAGGCUCGAAAGUGUGGGUAUCAAACAGGAUUAGAUACCCUGGUAGUCCACACAGUAAACGAUGUAUACUCGCGGUUUGCGGUAUAUUGUAAGCCGCCAAGCGAAAGCAUUAAGUAUACCACCUGGGGAGUACGCCGGCAACGGUG
rnacentral:rRNA from 1 species